AUGGAGCUCUCCCUCGUCUCCGCGAGGCCCUUGCCCCGCCCCGCCGCCUCCCCGCUCCUCUUCGCCCCGCUCAAACCAUUGCCCCUCCUCCGCUUCCCGCCACGGAAGCGCACCGCCUUCGCCCGCCUCCGCAGCCGGCGGUCUCGCCGUGUGGCGGCCUCGGGGGAGGGGGAGGGCGACGCCGCGGACCGGGACGAGGAGGUGUUCGGCAGCCGGAGUGGGCAGGUGUUCGGAGGGCGGAGGGAGCUCACCGGCGUGCAGCCGCUCGUGGAGGCGCUGCCGCCGGUGGCACGGACGGCGGCGGAGCUCGCGGUCUCCGCCGCGGCGUUGGCGGCGGGCUACGGCAUCGGGCUCCGCGCCGGCGGCGGCAACCGGGCCGCGGCGUUCGCGGGCGCGGCCGUGCUUGGUGGGGCCAGCGUCGCGGCUGCCGUCGCGGUGAACUCUGUAGUGCCGGAGGUCGCCGCUGUCGGAUUGCACAACUACGUCGCCGGCCAUGACGACCCCACCAAGCUGGAGGCCAGCGAGGUGGAGGCCAUCGCGAACAAAUAUGGAGUUAGUACACAAGAUGCAGCCUUCAAAACAGAGCUCUGUGACUUGUAUGGCAGCUUUCUUUACUCGGUACUUCCUCCAGGAGAUGAAGAUCUCAAAGGUGAUGAAGUUGAGGUCAUUGCAAAAUUUAAAAGAGGCCUUGGACUUGAUGAUGUAGAUGCUGCAAAUAUGCACAUGGAGAUUGGUAGACGCUUAUACAGAGAGAGGUUGGAAACAAGGGACCGUGAUGCUGACAUUGAACAGCGGCGGGCAUUUCAAAAGCUGAUAUAUGUGUCAAAUCUUGUCUUUGGAGACGCAUCAGCCUUCCUACUUCCAUGGAAACGUCUUUUCGGCAUCACUGAUUCUCAGAUCGACAUUGCUAUGCGGGACAAUGCCAAAAAUUUGUACGCGAUACAGCUCAAGUCUAUUGGUAGAGGUCUGGACAUAGGCACUCUCAUUGAAGCAAGGAGAGCCCAACUUGCGUGUAAACUUUCUGAUGAGAUUGCUGCUGACAUGUUCAGGGAACAUGCGAAGAAGUUGAUUCAAGAAAACAUUUCAUCAGCUUUAGACAUCUUGAAGUCGCGUAACAAAGCCACGAAUAGCCCAACACAGGUUAUUGAAGAAGUAAAGUGUGUCCUUGCAUUUAAUAGCCUGCUAACUGUACUGAGCAAGCACCCUCAAGGCGAUCGAUUUGCACGUGGGCUUGGACCUAUUUCAUUAGCGGGAGAGCUUGAUCAUGAUAGGAGGGCUGGUGAUCUAAAGACACUCUAUAGGGCCUAUGCAACAGAUGUACUUUCAGAUGGACCUGUUGAUAAUGAGAAGCUUACUCCUUUGAAUGAUCUGAGAAAUAUAUUUGGACUGGGGAAGCGUGAAGCAGAAGCAAUCAUCUCAGAUGUCAAAUCUCAAGCAUACAGAAAGAGACUUGCAAAAUCCUUUAACACUGAUUUGGCUGCAGCUCCUAGCAAAGCAUCGUUCCUCCAAAAUCUGUGCGAAGAGCUACAGUUUGAUCCCGAACUUGCUAGCAAGAUGCAUGAAGACAUUUACAGACAGAAGCUUCAGCAGUUUGUAGCUGACGGAGAGCUGAGCAAGGAUGAAACAGAAGCUUUGACGGCAUUCCAAGUGCGUCUCUGCAUUCCUCAAGAAACUGUUGAUGCUGCUCAUACUGGCAUCUGCGGUCAAUUGUUUGAAAAGGUUGUCAAGGAAGCAAUUUUGUCAGUUGAUGGAUACAACGCUGAUAGACGAGAGGCAGUUAGGAAAGCAGCACAGAGUCUAAACUUGAAAAAGGAGGCUGCUAUGACCAUCUUUAGUAAAGCAGUACGGAAAUUAUUCCUGAACUACAUUCAGAAAGCAAAAGCAGCUGGGAAUCGCAUUGAACAGGCAAAAGAGUUGAAGAAGUUAAUUUCCUUCAACACAGUUGUUGUAAGUGAGCUUCUGGCUGACAUUAAAGGGGAGCUAACAACUGCUGAACCUGCAACAUCAAGUGCGACCUCAGAAUCUGAAACGACUGAAUCUGAGGGAGAGGAUGAGGACUAUGAAUGGGAAUCACUAGAAACAUUGAAGAAGACAAGGCCUGAUAAAGAGCUAAAAGAAAAGCUGGGCAAGUCAAGUCAGAAAGAGAUAACCCUCAAGGAUGAUCUUCCAUUGAGAGAUAGAGCUGAGCUGUAUCAAACAUAUUUGAUGUUCUGUAUCACUGGUGAGACUACUAAUGUUUCAUUCGGGACAGCAAUCUCCUCGAAGAAAGACGAUUCAGAGUAUUUAAUGCUAAAGCAAUUGGGACGCAUACUUGGUUUAACCGCCAAAGAAGCUCAAGAUGUCCACAUUAAGCUGGCAGAAAAAGCAUUUGUGCAACAGGCUGAAGUGGUUCUAGCUGAUGGGAAGUUGACAGAAUCCAAGGCUGACCAGCUUGCAACGAUACAAACGCAGGUUGGUUUGCCAUCUGAGCAUGCACAGAAAAUCAUUAAGAGCAUCACAACGACAAAGUUGUCUAGUGCAAUUGAAGCAUCUAUAUCGCGAGGACAGAUUGGUAUACAGCAGGUCCGAGGAUUGAAAGACGCAAAUUUCGAGCUGGACAGCUUGAUUUCAGAACCGUUGCGAGAAACCAUUUACAAAAAGUGUGCUGAGGAGAUAUUCUCAUCAGGCACAGGUGAAUUUGAUGAAGAGGAAGUGUAUGUAAAGAUGCCAGCUGAUCUUAUCAUAAGUGCUGAGAAGGCCAGGUCGAUUGUUCAGGACAUUGCGAAGGUUAGGUUGGAGAACGCCCUUGUCCAGGCUGUUGCUUUGCUUCGGCAGAAGAAGAGAGAUGGUGUGAUUUCAUCACUGAACGACCUGCUCGCAUGUGAUGCUGCCGUGCCUGCUUCGAAGCCUUUGUCAUGGCCCACUCCACGAGAGCUUGACGACCUGUACUGUGUGUACAUGAAGAGCAUUCCGAAGCAGGAUAAGUUGUCAAGGUUGCAGUAUUUACUCGACAUCAGUGCCGAGAAGGCUGAGGACCUUCGGGAUGCGGCGACGGCAGGCACGUUGCCUCAAACAGGCCAAGAGGAAGAAGAGUUGGCGUUCUAG
rnacentral:rRNA from 1 species